ACAUGAUGAUGGUUGAAUAGUUCAGCAGAUUAAAUCGUGAAGGGGUUUACCAUUUGUCUGAUGUAUCU